AGAUCAGGGUGAAGAUCAGAGAGCUCACUGUAGAGGACACUGCGAUGUACCAGUGUGGAGUUGAUAUAAUGGGAAAAGACAUUUACAUACCGGUGGAACUGAAGGUAAAGGAAGAUCUGUCCUAUGAGAAGUCCAUCAGUAAGACUGUCCAUGUAGGAGGAGAUUUGAAUAUCAGCUGUAAAUACCCAGAAUCCCUCAGGAGUGACUCCAAGUUUCUCUGCAAGACGAGGCUGCAACGUGCUGCUUGUUUUUAUAAAUUAUCUGUUAAAGAAAGUAGAAAAUAUGUAAAUGAGGGGAAAUUCUCCUUGUAUGAUGACGGAGAAACACAAACGUUGACUGUGAGUAUUAGAAAUGUAACUGAGCAGGACUCUGGUGAAUACUGGUGUGGAGCUGAAGCAGCCUGGACAUCUGAUCAUGGAUACAAGGUUCAUUUCACACAGAUCGACCUGACAGUUGCUGCAUCAGUGCCAACAAAAUAUUCAUUAUCAUCUUUACCAACAUCAUCAUCAUCAUCAUCAUCAUCACCAUCAU
ensembl:lncRNA